rnacentral:rRNA from 1 species
AUGACGCUGGCGGCAGGCCUAACACAUGCAAGUCGAGCGGUAGAGCAGAAGCUUGCUUCUCUUGAGAGCGGCGGACGGGUGAGUAAUGCCUAGGAAUCUGCCUGGUAGUGGGGGAUAACGUUCGGAAACGGACGCUAAUACCGCAUACGUCCUACGGGAGAAAGCAGGGGACCUUCGGACCUUGCGCUAUCAGAUGAGCCUAGGUCGGAUUAGCUAGUUGGUGAGGUAAUGGCUCACCAAGGCGACGAUCCGUAACUGGUCUGAGAGGAUGAUCAGUCACACUGGAACUGAGACACGGUCCAGACUCCUACGGGAGGCAGCAGUGGGGAAUAUUGGACAAUGGGCGAAAGCCUGAUCCAGCCAUGCCGCGUGUGUGAAGAAGGUCUUCGGAUUGUAAAGCACUUUAAGUUGGGAGGAAGGGCAGUUACCUAAUACGUGAUUGUUUUGACGUUACCGACAGAAUGAGCACCGGCUAACUCUGUGCCAGCAGCCGCGGUAAUACAGAGGGUGCAAGCGUUAAUCCGCAAUUACUGGCCCGU